UCAGGCCUAACACAUGCAAGUCGAGCGCGCCUUCGGGUGAGCGGCGGACGGGUUAGUAACGCGUGGGAAUAUGCCCAAAGGUAGGGAAUAGCCUCUGGAAACGGAGAGUAAUACCCUAUGUGCCCUUCGGGGGAAAGAUUUAUCGCCUUUGGAUUAGCCCGCGUUAGAUUAGGUAGUUGGUGGGGUAAUGGCCUACCAAGCCUACGAUCUAUAGCUGGUUUUAGAGGAUGAUCAGCAACACUGGGACUGAGACACGGCCCAGACUCCUACGAGAGGCAGCAGUGGGGAAUCUUGGACAAUGGGGGCAACCCUGAUCCAGCCAUGCCGCGUGAGUGAUGAAGGCCCUAGGGUCGUAAAGCUCUUUCGCCAGGGAUGAUAAUGACAGUACCUGGCAAAGAAACCCCGGCUAACUCCGUGCCAGCAGCCGCGGUAAUACGGAGGGGGUUAGCGUUGUUCGGAAUUACUGGGCGUAAAGCGUACGUAGGCGGAUCGGAAAGUUGGGGGUGAAAUCCCGGGGCUCAACCCCGGAACUGCCUCCAAAACUAUCGGUCUAGAGUUCGAGAGAGGUGAGUGGAAUUCCGAGUGUAGAGGUGAAAUUCGUAGAUAUUCGGAGGAACACCAGUGGCGAAGGCGGCUCACUGGCUCGAUACUGACGCUGAGGUACGAAAGUGUGGGGAGCAAACAGGAUUAGAUACCCUGG
rnacentral:rRNA from 1 species